AAAUUGAAGAGUUUGAUCAUGGCUCAGAUUGAACGCUGGCGGCAGGCCUAACACAUGCAAGUCGAACGGUAACAGGAAGCAGCUUGCUGCUUUGCUGACGAGUGGCGGACGGGUGAGUAAUGUCUGGGAAACUGCCUGAUGGAGGGGGAUAACUACUGGAAACGGUGGCUAAUACCGCAUAACGUCGCAAGACCAAAGAGGGGGACCUUCGGGCCUCUUGCCAUCAGAUGUGCCCAGAUGGGAUUAGCUUGUUGGUGAGGUAACGGCUCACCAAGGCGACGAUCCCUAGCUGGUCUGAGAGGAUGACCAGCCACACUGGAACUGAGACACGGUCCAGACUCCUACGGGAGGCAGCAGUGGGGAAUAUUGCACAAUGGGCGCAAGCCUGAUGCAGCCAUGCCGCGUGUAUGAAGAAGGCCUUCGGGUUGUAAAGUACUUUCAGCGGGGAGGAAGGUGUUGUGGUUAAUAACCGCAGCAAUUGACGUUACCCGCAGAAGAAGCACCGGCUAACUCCGUGCCAGCAGCCGCGGUAAUACGGAGGGUGCAAGCGUUAAUCGGAAUUACUGGGCGUAAAGCGCACGCAGGCGGUCUGUCAAGUCGGAUGUGAAAUCCCCGGGCUCAACCUGGGAACUGCAUUCGAAACUGGCAGGCUUGAGUCUUGUAGAGGGGGGUAGAAUUCCAGGUGUAGCGGUGAAAUGCGUAGAGAUCUGGAGGAAUACCGGUGGCGAAG
rnacentral:rRNA from 1 species